rnacentral:rRNA from 1 species
UGGGGAAUUUUGGACAAUGGGGGAAACCCUGAUCCAGCCAUCCCGCGUGUGCGAUGAAGGCCUUCGGGUUGUAAAGCACUUUUGGCAGGAAAGAAACGUCGCGGGUUAAUACCCCGCGAAACUGACGGUACCUGCAGAAUAAGCACCGGCUAACUACGUGCCAGCAGCCGCGGUAAUACGUAGGGUGCAAGCGUUAAUCGGAAUUACUGGGCGUAAAGCGUGCGCAGGCGGUUCGGAAAGAAAGAUGUGAAAUCCCAGAGCUUAACUUUGGAACUGCAUUUUUAACUACCGGGCUAGAGUGUGUCAGAGGGAGGUGGAAUUCCGCGUGUAGCAGUGAAAUACGUAGAUAUGCGGAGGAACACCGAUGGCGAAGGCAGCCUCCUGGGAUAACACUGACGCUCAUGCACGAAAGCGUGGGGAGCAAACAGGAUUAGAUACCCUGGUAGUCCACGCCCUAAACGAUGUCAACUAGCUGUUGGGGCCUUCGGGCCUUGGUAGCGCAGCUAACGCGUGAAGUUGACCGCCUGGGGAGUACGGUCGCAAGAUUAAAACUCAAAUGAAUUG